rnacentral:rRNA from 1 species
GAUGAACGCUGGCGGCGUGCCUAAUACAUGCAAGUCGAGCGAACAGACGAGGAGCUUGCUCCUUUGACGUUAGCGGCGGACGGGUGAGUAACACGUAGGUAACCUACCUAUAAGACUGGGAUAACUUCGGGAAACCGGAGCUAAUACCGGGUAAUAUUUCGAACCGCAUGGUUCGAUAGUGAAAGAUGGCUUUGCUAUCACUUAUAGAUGGACCUGCGCCGUAUUAGCUAGUUGGUAAGGUAACGGCUUACCAAGGCAACGAUACGUAGCCGACCUGAGAGGGUGAUCGGCCACACUGGAACUGAGACACGGUCCAGACUCCUACGGGAGGCAGCAGUAGGGAAUCUUCCGCAAAGGGCGAAAGCCUGACGGAGCAACGCCGCGUGAGUGAUGAAGGUCUUCGGAUCGUAAAACUCUGUUAUUAGGGAAGAACAAACGUGUAAGUAACUGUGCACGUCUUGACGGUACCUAAUCAGAAAGCCACGGCUAACUACGUG